UGGAUGAUGGCUCUUGAGAGACUUUAGAGGAAUUUGCCAUUUGGAAAAAGGAAAAAAGAAGAACGUUUAAUUAGAGAUGGAGCUAAAGCAGAUAAUUUGAUCUUCCAAUGGAAAACAGAAUUACAGGUUAAAAAUGAAGAUUAUACACUCUGGGUGAAGAAUGCUCCCUCAUUUCAGGAGCACAAGUGGAAGGAAAGGAAAGGAAGAACGAGGACUGGCCCUUGGC
rnacentral:lncRNA from 1 species